GACUUCUUGGUAACCUUCAAAUGUAAUUACAUCAGCCUAAGCCUGUAUAUUCAUCUUUUCUCCUUAUGAAGCACAUUUGCAUUAAAUUUAGAGUGGAAAUUCUUAAAGAAUUAAUUGGAAGAAAGUAUUUGGUGCUCUAUUUUGGAGGAAGAAGGUAAUGUUUUCAAGAAAAACUAGUCUGGAAGAAUAAUCAAAUUAUAUUCAUAGCAUUUAGCAACAGUUUAAUGAGUUUUCAGCUUUUCCAUUUCCUGUUAACCAACUUCAUCAGCCACCAAUACUCCUAAAAAGUGAUUUGAAGUGAUUAUUUGCUUUGGUGCUAUUAAGAGUAGAGCAAAUGCUUCUGAGAUCUGUCUUGAGGGGAUUUUCAAAGUGAAACCUUUUUUUAUUUAAGUAUGACUGCAUGUCUCUGUAAAUUUGCUUAUGGUUCUACUUUCCACACCCUAUAAAUAAUAAUAAUAAUAGUAAUAAUAAUGAUAAUAAUAGUAACAGUUGAAAAUAGCAAAAGCUUCCCCCUCAGACCAACUUACUUCAAUUUUCUUUUCACAAUAUUAUUCAGUUUAUUUAAUCUUUAUACUAUCUCUGACAUGCCUCUGGAUUUUAGACCCAUGUAUGCAGAUAAUUAGCAUGGAUGCAGAUAUUGCACAAGAUGGUCAGGCUUAUCAGAUACACACAUGUCUAAUCUGUCAGCAAUUUACAGUUUCUUUUUAAAUUUCCACUUUCUAAUAACAGUAUAAAUUUUUCAGGGGGUGUACUCUUGGUCUCUCCUCUGUAACUGGGGCAAGAAAACCUCACGAGAGGGGACCUAAUUGCAGAAUGAGCACUUAAGGAAAGGCUCCGAUCUGCAUGCCACACCUCUGCCCUCUCUUGUAUACAAUGAAAAGCCCAUCAAUGUUAUUGUAAAUCACAAUGUCUCUGUCCAGAGAAAACAUAUUUUGCACCUCAUCUGGUCUAAAUAUUGAGUUUACGAGUGAAUGUUGCUUUGCAUUAUGUGUUAUAGAUGCUUUAUGUUUAUUUAAGAACUCAGUUUGCAGGAAUGUUUUCCAGACAUGCGGUUUACCGCAAUAGACAGUUGUUGAUAUUCUGAUCCCAAGAGCAUUAGAAUAUGUUUAGAAAUUGCGACACUUUUAAAACCAGAUGUUCUACAUAAGCUACACAAAAAAUGGGGGUGGGGGAACAAAUAGAACUGUAAUUUGGCAUGAAAACAGCCUGUGUUAAAGCAAGGGCAAACACAUACCAAGUGAAAUAAACGUGGUGAACUGCCCUCAACCCUUUCCGCCUUUUGUAAGUAACUAUUUUAACAAAAGAUGGAAAAUCCCAUCUCCCAGAUGGUGUGGGAAAGGGAAAGGAAAGCUUUCAGAUCCAGGUUUGCAUCUGAAAGAAGCUGCUGCAUCUUGUUCCUGGGAUGGAUCAAACCAGAAUGACAGAGCUCGGCAACUUCAGGCAAGGAAAGAAUGCAAAUCUGGAUUCAAUGCCCAGCCCAGAAAUUCAUUUUCUUUGUGUUUCUAAAGGUAAAUGAUCUUCGCUGAGGAAACAGAGAUUUGCCCUGCAAAUAGUGACUUGCCACAGAAAGGCUCCUCCAGCAGCCAGAGACUGGUGGCACAUUCUGCCCUGUCCUCCAGGAUGAUUUGACAGGGAUAUUUGUGUGAACAGGUGGGGGAUCAUCCUGCACCAGGCACUGUCUCAGGGACUGAAGUAUCUCAGACUAGCUCUGCCCUGGUCUCUGCUGGGAAAGCAUGGCUGGGCAGCUGAACAAUCUGGACUCACAGCCGUCAUCAGCUGAUGAUAAACUGCCUCUUUCCAUUCAAUCUGUUGUUGUUUUUCCUUCUGACUUUGAACUCUUUCCCUUGUUUAUUAUAAAGCAGAAAUCACAUGAAUUUCACUUACACCAACCUUAAAUAAGCUGACUUGAGUCAACUAUUCUGAAUUAUUUUUCCCCUCCUAUCACAAGUUAACAUGCUUUGGGUAAUCAGUGAUAACACUACAGAAUGGGGCCUAUAAUAAACAUAAGACCAAUUGACAGCCAAAAAAGCAAAGAUAACUAGGGCAUCUCUGCUUUUCUUUACAACAGAAUCACACAGUAAUGGAAAUGUUACCAGCAAGUCUGAAGGAAUUUGCACAAAACAUGUUGGUUUAGGUAAAUAAAGCAAUGCAUGUUUGCCCACAGGCUUAAAAUACUGUAUUUGUAAUACAAAAGUAAUGCAAUGUUUGACAAACCUCCUCGUUCAAAAGUGCUUAAAGGGAUGCUGUGAAGAAAACUGAUGGAAAAACAAAGUUUUUCCAUUAGAUUUCCUGAGCACUGAGAGUCAGAGCUGCUUGGACUUUCCUGUAUCUCUUCCAAGCACUAGCAAAGCUCCUCUGCACAUGGAUGCUGCAUUUUAGCAGUUUGUUCUGCUGUAUAGGAAAAAGCUCAUUUAUGAGUCCGUGGUUCAUGGGAAGGCAAUUUACCUACAUUAGUAAAAGGAACCAAACUGCCCUCCCAGCUUAGUCACGCUGCCUUCCUCCACUGAACAGAGGGCUCCUGCUGCCUUCAGUGGAUGUUGGACCAGUUCGUUAGUCCAGCUUCAAAGAAUUAAUGCAGCAGUAGGAUCUGCCCACUGAUUCAUUCUGCUCCUCAUGAGUACCUGAAAAGCCAGCUUUGAAACUCUUCCUAGCUCUGCCUCACCAAAGACAAUUUAUGGCGGAAGCUCAUGUACAUAUUUAUUUUGUUGCUAAAGAGUUUGCUGGCGUACUUCAAAGUGUGGGCUAUUACCUGUUCAGGUUUAUUGCCUGCUCAAGUGAAUUAUUGCCUACCUGAACAGGCCUGCUGAGCAAUAGUUCAAAUUAAAACGUGUCAUUUAUCAUGUUCACACCAAUCCAAAAUGACCACAAAACCCAAGGUGUAAUUAUUGCCAGGCUCUGACUGCAGCGCUAUCAUAGCCAACACUCAAGCAGUAGGGAAUACUGGUUUCUCUCUUCGAAGGAAAUCUGCUUCCUUAUUCAUAAUGAACAAAUCUGACCCUAUCAUUAACAGUACUAUUAUUUCAAAUGCUGAUAUGCACCACGGAAACUAACUUUGAAAUAUGCGGGAAGAAUGUGACAUGGAUUCCAUCCAAGAUUAGUUUUUCAGCAAAGUGCAGUUUCAGACCCGACACUUUUCAUUAAAAUUUAUUCUAAAAGCAAGUCUUGCACUUAUCAACAGUAUCCAGAAAGGUUGUCACACAGCCUGGAAUGGUGGAGAUAUUUUUAUUAGUGUCAUUAUUGUUAUUUCUACUACUAUUAUUGUUUACCACAAUUCAGAAAAAAAAAAAAAAA
ensembl:lncRNA